rnacentral:RNase_P_RNA from 1 species
GCAAACCGCCGAUGGCCCACGCAAGUGGGAUCAGGUAAGGGUGAAAGGGUGCGGUAAGAGCGCACCGCGCGGCUGGCAACAGUCCGUGGCACGGUAAACUCCACCCGGAGCAAGGCCAAAUAGGGGUUCAUAAGGUACGGCCCGUACUGAACCCGGGUAGGCUGCUUGAGCCAGUGAGCGAUUGCUGGCCUAGAUGAAUGACUGUCCACGACAGAACCCGGCUUAUCGGUCAGUUUCACCU